UUUGAAAAGAUGUCUGACGUUGGCCAACUAGACAAUUGGCUUUAAGUGGAAAUAAGUCCCUCUUAUUGGAAUUGAACGUUUCUUGUUAAUAUUGAAGUGGUUUUUCUUUUGCUAUUCUCAAUGGUAUAGUUAAGGAGGUCGUAAUGCGGUUGUGUUCGACUAAAUGCUCGAUAAAUAUAAACGAACAGAGUUUCAACAAAAAAUUUGUUCGAGCUUGUCAAAGUUUAACGAACCAAACUUCAACAACAGAGUAUUCGGUUCGGCUCAGUUCAUUUACAGCUCUUUAACUGUUUCGUCCGUCUCUCACCAGUAGCCUAUCCAACCCUUGUUACACUUUCGCCUCUUGAUCUCUCCAGCUCUCUUCACGCUAUCUCCCAUUCUUGGUGUCUUCAACUCUUCACCCUCUUCGUCUUUUAACUUUCGAGUUACGAAACUCAACAGCCGUUCAGCCAAGUUUGGCACGACCAUCACGGAUGACCACCAGUCCACAGCAUAACUCCACAGCUCCACUAGAAGUCCUCCACGGCUCACCAUUAAUCAAAGGUCAACUGGGCUUUUGUAUUUCCUUGUGAACAACAGAACAAGAAACAGGUAUUUUUUCCUCUUUUAAUUGAUGAUUUGUUAAUAAUUUCUAUAUAUGUUGAACAAAUUGCUUAUUGAGAUUUGUUAUUAGUUGUUUUGCAACUUUAAUUAAUUUUAAAGAUCUGUCCUGUGUAUUAUUAAUUAAUUUUAAAGACAUUUGAGUUUUUCUUAUUUUUAAUAUUCG
rnacentral:lncRNA from 1 species